rnacentral:rRNA from 1 species
UGAGGAAUAUUGGUCAAUGGGCGGGAGCCUGAACCAGCCAAGUCGCGUGAAGGAAGAAGGAUCUAUGGUUCGUAAACUUCUUUUGCAGGGGAAUAAAGUGCGGGACGUGUCCUGUUUUGUAUGUACCCUGAGAAUAAGGAUCGGCUAACUCCGUGCCAGCAGCCGCGGUAAUACGGAGGAUCCGAGCGUUAUCCGGAUUUAUUGGGUUUAAAGGGUGCGUAGGUGGUUUGAUAAGUCAGCGGUGAAAGUUUGCAGCUUAACUGUAAAAAUGCCGUUGAAACUGUCGGACUUGAGUGUAAAUGAGGUAGGCGGAAUGCGUGGUGUAGCGGUGAAAUGCAUAGAUAUCACGCAGAACUCCGAUUGCGAAGGCAGCUUACUAAGCUACAACUGACACUGAAGCACGAAAGCGUGGGGAUCAAACA